UAACGCUAAUCCAAUAUGCAAAAUUUUCACUAGGUGCCCAAGUGUUCACCCUCCAACGUUGAUCCACACGAAAACUUGAUUUAAGUCUUAAGCUCCAAAGACUUUGAUCCUUAAUGCAGAAUUCUUAAAGAACUCUAAUGGCUUGCUUUCCUUUCUUUCUAUUUUUCUUUAACCUUCUAAAAUCACUUCUAAUCCUUUUAUCCUAAAG
rnacentral:lncRNA from 1 species